GAUGAACGCUGGCGGCGUGCCUAAUACAUGCAAGUCGAGCGAACAGACGAGGAGCUUGCUCCUCUGACGUUAGCGGCGGACGGGUGAGUAACACGUGGAUAACCUACCUAUAAGACUGGGAUAACUUCGGGAAACCGGAGCUAAUACCGGAUAAUAUCUUGAACCGCAUGGUUCAAUAGUUAAAGACGGUUUUGCUGUCACUUCUAGAUGGAUCCGCGCCGCAUUAGUUAGUUGGUAAGGUAACGGCUUACCAAGGCAACGAUGCGUAGCCGACCUGAGAGGGUGAACGGCGACACUGGAACUGAGACACGGUCCAGACUCCUACGGGAGGCAGCAGUAGGGAAUCUUCCGCAAUGGGCGAAAGCUUGACGGAGCAACGCCGCGUGAGUGAUGAAGGUCUUCGGAUCGUAAAACUCUGUUAUUAGGGAAGAACAAAUGUGUAAGUAACUAUGCACGUCUUGACGGUACCUAAUCAGAAAGCCACGGCUAACUACGUG
rnacentral:rRNA from 1 species